rnacentral:rRNA from 1 species
UGCGCAGGCGGACUUUUAAGUCAGUGGUGAAAUCCCGAGGCUCAACCUCGGAACUGCCAUUGAUACUGGAAGUCUUGAAUUUGGUUGAAGUGGGCGGAAUGUAGCAUGUAGCGGUGAAAUGCUUAGAUAUGCUACAGAACACCGAUCGCGAAGGCAGCUCACUAAGCCAAUAUUGACGCUCGGGCACGAAAGCGUGGGGAGCAAACAGGAUUAGAUACCCUGGUAGUCC